GAUGAACGCUAGCUACAGGCUUAACACGUGCCAGUCGCGGGGCAGCAUGGGGGUUGCUUGCCAUCCCCGAUGGCGACCGGCGCACGGGUGAGUAACGCGUAUCCAACCUGCCCUUCACCACGGGAUAACCCGGCGAAAGUCGGACUAAUACCGUAUGUUGUCCAUUGACGGCAUCCGAUUUGGACGAAAGGCUUGGCGGUGAGGGAUGGGGAUGCGUCCGAUUAGCCAGACGGCGGGGUAACGGCCCACCGUGGCUACGAUCGGUAGGGGUUCUGAGAGGAAGGUCCCCCACACUGGAACUGAGACACGGUCCAGACUCCUACGGGAGGCAGCAGUGAGGAAUAUUGGUCAAUGGGCGUAAGCCUGAACCAGCCAAGUAGCGUGCAGGAUGACGGCCCUAUGGGUUGUAAACUGCUUUUAUGCGGGGAUAAAGUGGCCCACGUGUGGGCUUUUGCAGGUACCGCAUGAAUAAGGACCGGCUAAUUCCGUG
rnacentral:rRNA from 1 species